rnacentral:rRNA from 1 species
GACGAACGCUGGCGGCGUGCUUAACACAUGCAAGUCGAGCGGUAAGGCCCUUCGGGGUACACGAGCGGCGAACGGGUGAGUAACACGUGGGUGAUCUGCCUCGUACUUCGGGAUAAGCCUGGGAAACUGGGUCUAAUACCGGAUAUGACCACGGACUGCAUGGUUUGUGGUGGAAAGAUUUAUCGGUGCGAGAUGGGCCCGCGGCCUAUCAGCUUGUUGGUGGGGUAAUGGCCUACCAAGGCGACGACGGGUAGCCGACCUGAGAGGGUGACCGGCCACACUGGGACUGAGACACGGCCCAGACUCCUACGGGAGGCAGCAGUGGGGAAUAUUGCACAAUGGGCGGAAGCCUGAUGCAGCGACGCCGCGUGAGGGAUGACGGCCUUCGGGUUGUAAACCUCUUUCGACAGGGACGAAGCGCAAGUGACGGUACCUGUAGAAGAAGCACCGGCCAACUACGUGCCAGCCGCCGCCGUAA